CAACUCCUUAGUUCUAACAAACUUAACAAAUAAACAUCAUGGUUAAUAUUAAUAGUGACCUUGCUAGUUGCUACUAUCUAAUACCCCCCCUUCCCAAUCUCCACAUCCAUUUCUUGCACAUUCAUUCACAUUCAUGAAUUCAGGGUUUCUCGAUCUUGGUUAAUUUUCUGUACCAGUUGCAUCAGGAGGGAAACUCACAAUUUUGGUUUGGCAAGGGUAAUGCUCAUUCAUUUUGUUUUGUGUUAUGUUGUACUUAUAUUGUUGACAUAUCAAUCACUAAAUUAAACGAGUUGAGAUAGUAGGCACAAAAUUUUAAUUCAAAUUUUGUUGUUGUAUUUGUAAUCUUUUUUAUCGAUUAAAAGAAAAAAAGUUGACAUAUUUAUGAUGGGUAGGAUAGUGUGGGUUAAAAAUGUUAACGUAAAUUGUUCUGCAUGUUUGGCUUAUUUUGUUUGCGUUUAAUUUUGAAAAGGGUGUUUUGAUUUCUUUGGUUGGAAAUGGCAAAGGGUUAGGAGCAAUGUGGUCUAAAUUGAAUGAUUAGGAUUUAGAAUGGAUAAAUAUAGUUAAGUUCCUUCUAUGUUAGAGUUUAGCUGAGUUAUCAGGAAUUAUCAGUGACAUUGAAGAAGCAUGGAACCUCUAUGUGAGUUUUGUGGGCUUGUGAGAGCUGUGGUUUACUGCAAGUCAGAUUCUGCUCGUCUCUGCUUGCAUUGCGAUGGCUGUGUACACUCUGCGAAUUCUUUGUCUCGCAGGCAUUCGCGUUCUCUCCUCUGUGAUAAGUGCAAUUCGCAGCCAGCGAUGAUCCGGUGCAUGGAUCAUAAGUUGUCUUCUUGUCAAGGUUGUGACUGGAACCCAAAUGAUUGUGCUGUUUUGGGACAUAGGCGCCUCGCAUUGAAUUGUUACACUGGUUGUCCCUCUUUGGCUGAGUUUUCUAGGAUUUGGUCCAUUGUGUUUGAUGGCAAUGCCGCAUUUUGUGGUUGGGAAUCACUUCGUAAUUUGCCGAAGAGUGAAAGCUGCAAUAGCCAGUGUUUGGAGCAACCUGAUCAUAAUGGUGCUUCUGCUUCCUUUGGUUUGGUCAGUGAGAAAUUGGAUGAAAUUGAAUCUUGUGUUAGAUAUGAACCUUGGAUGGGGCAAUCUCAGAUCAUUCCCUCAAAUCCAAAUUACAACACUCCGUACUGCAAAGAUCAAGCAUUUUUCUUUCCUCAAGACUCAAACCAACCAAAGGAAUGUCCUAAUCUUGGAAUUCAUAAUGGGAAUGAACUCUGCGAAGGUCUCAAUGUGGACAACGUUCAAUUGAACUUUGAAAGUGCUGAUGAAAUAUUUGGCUGUUCACAAGCUGCCACAAGAUACCAACUUGAAGAGGGGGGAAUGGACUGUCUGUUGAUGGAUAAAAACAUAUCAGCCACAGAAUCUAGUUCACUUAUUGAGAGUGCCAUGGAGGCAUCAUCAUCAAUCCAACAAGAUUGUGUGGCUUUUCAAUCAUCCAAGGCUGGUGGAUCAGCUAGUUUGAUGCAGGCUAUCAACAGUAAUACAAAUUGUGCACUCAUGAAUCCUAGCUGCAGCAGAAACAUCAGUCUGGGAUUUCCUCAGGGUCAAGUUCAUUCAAACAUACCAUUUCAAUUGCCCAACAUUGUUGGUGAAAAUAGUUCUGCUGAAUAUCAAGACUGUGGGUUAUCGCCAGUGUUUCUACCGGGUGAAUCCCCUUGGGAAUCAAAUUUGGAGGGUACAUGUCCACAAGCAAGGGAUAAAGCAAAAAUGAGAUACAAUGAGAAAAAGAAGACUCGAACGUUUGGUAAGCAAAUAAGAUAUGCAUCUCGCAAAGCAAGGGCUGAUACAAGAAAACGUGUGAAAGGUAGAUUUGUUAAAGCAGGUGAAGCAUAUGAUUAUGACCCUCUUGUGACAAGGGGCCUCUAAGCAUUUAUCUGGAAUCUCUAUCUUUUCCAUAAAAGGUGGUUCUUCUGACAUUGCUUUGUUGCCAAUUCUUCAUCAACACACUUUUGUUUUUGUGAAAGUGGGAGAGUUUUAAUGCAGCUAGAUAGUUAUCCAAAACUUGACUACUUAGGUGAUUGAUUCAGAUCUAGUAGAGAUUUUAACAUGUUAGUAUUUAGAAGAAAAAGAUAUGGAGGUGUUGCAAUUGGGAAUUGCAGAGGAAGGGAUUGGAUGUAUGCCACGAUUUUGCAUUAAAUUAUACAUAGGAAGUGUAAGAGGUAACAGGCAUGGGACAUAGAGGAGCAGAACGUUUGAACAGAUUUCAAAUGGCAUCACAGUCAUUGUCAAUUCAGACAAACACAGAGGGCCAAAAUAUUCUUCCUUGCUUUCAGAAAUGUGCAUGGUGUGAUCCAUCCUCAAUUUCAACAAGUGAUAUUGUGUGAGUCUCUAAGCCAGUGUGAACACAGUCUAGUGUAAAGAAUAAAAGGGAAAUUGGUGUUUGGGAACUGGAAAACAACUAUGGCCAACCUCACAUUUCUGCUUUCAAUUUGGUCCUUCCUCAUAAGGAUGAGCCUUAGAACAGCAACACCGUCUUUUGGAAACUCUUCAUUUAUUCCAAUUUGAUCAGAUAAGUGAGCAUAGUCAACUGUGGAUUGAGGCACUAUUGUUCUUGACUUGCACAACUAGGUAAGUGAGCUUAGCCAGAUUCACCUCCAGUAACUAUCUGCAUCUUUGACAACCUUUCUGUUGCCUCAAAAAUUUCAUUUGUUGUAUUGCUCUAUCUUGGGGGAUGGUAGCUAUUUCUUUAAUAAUUGUACAAACAUUGCGUACAAACUUGCCCGAUUUUAAGGGACGUUUGUUUCUCCAUUGAAAUAA